rnacentral:rRNA from 1 species
GACAGAGGUGCCGAGCGUUAGGCGGAAUCACUGGGCUUAAAGCGUGUGUAGGCGGACCUGUAAGUGCCUUGUGAAAUCCCACGGCUUAACCGUGGAACUGCUCGGCAUACUGGCGGUCUUGAGCCAGCUAGGGGCUACCGGAACAAAUGGUGGAGCGGUGAAAUGCGUAGAUAUCAUUUGGAACGCCAAUGGUGAAAACAGGUAGCUGGGGCUGUGCUGACGCUGAGACACGAAAGCCAGGGGAGCGAACGGG